rnacentral:rRNA from 1 species
CAGUUCACACCCUCGCACGGUGAAACCGCGAAUGGCUCAUUAAAUCAGUCGAGGUUCCUUAGAUGAUCCAUUUCUACUUGGAUAACUGUGGCAAUUCUAGAGCUAAUACAUGCGGACCAGCUCCGACCCGGUGUCGCAGCCGGGAAAGAGCGCUUUUAUUAGUUCAAAACCAGUCGGCUCGUCCGCCCCUUCGCGGGGGUGCCGUCAGCCGUCCCCUUCUGGUGACUCUGGAUAACUUUGUGCCGAUCGCAUGGCCUCGAGCCGGCGACGCAUCUUUCAAAUGUCUGCCCUAUCAAAUGUCGAUGGUACGUGAUAGGCCUACCAUGUUGACUACGGGUGACGGGGAAUCGGGGUUCGAUUCCGGAGAGGGAGCAUGAGAAAGGGCUACCACAUCCAAGGAAGGCAGAGGCGCGCA